CCUGGGGGCCUUAGCGCGGUGGUCCCACCUGACCCCAUGCCGAACUCAGAAGUGAAACGCCGUAGCGCCGAUGGUAGUGUGGGGUCUCCCCAUGCGAGAGUAGGGAACUGCCAGGC
rnacentral:rRNA from 1 species